UGACGUGAGGGUUAUCUGGCUGUGACAUCUGUCACCCCAUUGACUUCCAGGGUUGAUUCAGCUGGUUUGGUUGGCCAGGUAGGUGUCCCCUUCCUUCCUCGAGGCUCUAUCUGCAGCCCUUCUGAAGCUGCGCGCUUCAUCCAAGAGGAUGGCCUUCCCCUAAUAGAGACGGACCAGUCUGAGGUCAAGGGUAUAUGAGUAGCUGCUUUCCCCUGCUAGAACCUCCAAAUAAGCUCUCAAGGUCCAUUUGUAGGAGAUCGUAGGGUAGUCAAGCUUCCAAGACUCCAGACACAUCCAAAUGAGGUGCUGCAUGUUGCAGUCUGCCUUUCUUA
ensembl:misc_RNA 7SK 7SK RNA